GACGAACGCUGGCGGCGUGCCUAAUACAUGCAAGUAGAACGCUGAAGAGAGGAGCUUACUCUUCUUGGAUGAGUUGCGAACGGGUGAGUAACGCGUAGGUAACCUGCCUUGUAGCGGGGGAUAACUAUUGGAAACGAUAGCUAAUACCGCAUAACAAUGGAUGACACAUGUCAUUUAUUUGAAAGGGGCAAUUGCUCCACUACAAGAUGGACCUGCGUUGUAUUAGCUAGUAGGUGAGGUAAUGGCUCACCUAGGCGACGAUACAUAGCCGACCUGAGAGGGUGGUCGGCCAACCUGGGACUGAGACACGGGCCAGACUCCUACGGGAGGCAGCAGUAGGGAAUCUUCGGCAAUGGGGGCAACCCUGACCGAGCAACGCCGCGUGAGUGAAGAAGGUUUUCGGAUCGUAAAGCUCUGUUGUAAGUCAAGAACGGGUGUGAGAGUGGAAAGUUCACACUGUGACGGUAGCUUAACAGAAAGGGACGGCUAACUACGUG
rnacentral:rRNA from 1 species